GGACGAACGCUGGCGGCGUGCUAAUACAUGCAAGUCAACUUGACUUAGAUAGCAAUAUCGAAAAGUAGGGUGGCGGCACGGGUGCGUAACGCGUAGGUAAUCUGCCCUGAGGUCUGACAUAACCCGUCGAAAGGCGGGCUAACAUCAGAUGAUAUAUAGUCACGACAUCGUGGAAAUAUCAAAUCUUCGGAGCCUUGGGAUGAGCCUGCGUCUGAUUAGGUAGUUGGCGGAGUAAUAGCCCACCAAGCCUACGAUCAGUAGCUGGUCUGAGAGGAUGAUCAGCCACACUGGAACUGAGACACGGUCCAGACUCCUACGGGAGGCAGCAGUAAGGAAUAUUGCUCAAUGGGGGAAACCCUGAAGCAGCAACGCCGCGUGAAGGAUGAAAUACUUUGUAUGUAAACUUCUGUAAGAUGGGAAAAAUAUUCUCCUCGGGAGAAUUGAUUGUACCAUCAGAGUAAGCCCCGGCUAACUACGUG
rnacentral:rRNA from 1 species